AUUUGUGAAACCAGGAAAAAAUCGGCAAAAUUUAUAUUUACAAAUGACAGAUUUUCUCGACAAGAAAUACGUAUUAGCUGUUUUAAAACGCCAACGUCGCAUUUAACCGAAUUAUGAUUUUUAAAUAAGAUGGACAAAAUUGUAAAAUAGUUAUUAAUGAUUAGAUCUCUUCACUGAUACUAUAAAUUACAUUAGCUAUUAUUUCUUUGAACUGCAUGAAUAAUUUAUAACAGAUAUUUUUUUUAUUUUGAAUUUAUUAUGAAAAUUUCUCCGCGUAAUCUACAAGUAAGAAAAAUAAAUAAUUAAAAUAAUGAUUAAAUAAAUAAUAAAUAAUUUAUUUUCUAGUGAAGUCAAUUUUUUAUAACCAAAUUAGCUGUCUCGAAAGAGCGAUAAUCAAGUGGCAAUACCAUAAAUAAUAUUCAUAUUUUUUUCGAAUCCAAGUCGGUGCCAUUUUUAUUUGGCUAAAAAAAACUUAAAAAACCUAUUACAUUUAAAGCUUAAUUGAUCAAAGCCUCCAUUUUAGCGGCUAACGCAUUCAAAUGUUAAAUAUCAAAUACAGCAUAUUAUCUAUGAAUAGCUAGGUACUGGACAUAAACUUUUAGGGGGGUAUACAGUCAAGUCUUUAUCAGUAUUUUAACAAUGGCAGUUGAUUAGAAGAAAAAAAGGGUUGUACUUUUCGAAAAAUCGUCCAAUAAAGGUUUUGGAUAUUGUUUUACUUUUAUUUUAAUCAAUCUUUAAUUUAUUAAUUUGGCAAAAAUGGCGUAUUUCGUUAUCACUGUCCGAAACCAUAAAAUCAAGCUUCCGCCGAAAUAUCCACAAUCGUAAUUAUUUCGCCGCGUUUUGACGGCCAAAGGAAGACCUUAAUCCGCACUAGCGGUUACUAAUUGGAUAAAAAGAGAGUUCUUAACAAGGUUAUCGCGAAUUUCAGUAGAAUUAUGCGGCCAUAAACCAGGAAAUUCCCUUCUUUUCCGAAUCAUUUUGUCAAAAAUUUGAUUGAUUUGUUUGCUUUGACACUCAAUUGGGCCUAAUAUCCGUCAAUAAUUAAUAUCGAUUUCAUCAAUAAAUCCGAUAUGUCACACAUGAAUGAUGAAUAGUUUGUAAUUGACUUUUUCAGCCGUUUCUUAUCCCACCUUAUACACGCCGAGAACCCACUUAUGGCCCACUUACCCACCUUUGAGUUUUUUCUCGCAGUUUUGCCACUUUUCCAAACGAAAAGGUGGCCAAGUUCGCUUCACGGCGAAUCAAACCGACGCUCUAGAAAAACGUUUCACUUCACACAAAUACUUGAGCCCAGAAGAUAGGAAAUUAUUGGCAGAGUCGUUGAAACUCACAGAUCGACAGGUAAAAACGUGGUUUCAAAAUCGCAGAGCAAAGUGGAGACGCUGCAAUUCAUCGAGCGAAGUUUCCUCGACGGAAAAUAAAUGUAUCUUUGUGUGUAAUAAAGCGGACAAGUCAAGUGACUAAA